UACGAAGGGGGCUAGCGUUGCUCGGAAUGACUGGGCGUAAAGGGCGCGUAGGCGGAUGGCACAGUCAGAUGUGAAAUUCCCGGGCUUAACCUGGGGGCUGCAUUUGAUACGUGUGAUCUAGAGUGAGGAAGAGGGUCGUGGAAUUCCCAGUGUAGAGGUGAAAUUCGUAGAUAUUGGGAAGAACACCGGUGGCGAAGGCGGCGACCUGGUCCUUGUCUGACGCUGAGGCGCGAAAGCGUGGGGAGCAAACAGG
rnacentral:rRNA from 1 species